rnacentral:rRNA from 1 species
AUUGAACGCUGGCGGCAUGCCUUACACAUGCAAGUCGAACGGCAGCGGGGGAGAAGCUUGCUUUUCCUGCCGGCGAGUGGCGAACGAGUGAGUAAUACAUCGGAACGUGCCCUGUAGUGGGGGAUAACUAGUCGAAAGAUUAGCUGAUACCGCAUACGACCUGAGGGUGAAAGUGGGGGACCGCAAGGCCUCAUGCUCUAGGGGAGGCCGAUGUCCGAUUAGCUAGUUGGUGGGGUAAAGGCCUACCAAGGCGACGAUCAGUAGCUGGUCUGAGAGGACGAUCAGCCACACUGGGACUGAGACACGGCCCAGACUCCUACGGGAGGCAGCAGUGGGGAAUUUUGGACAAUGGGCGAAAGCCUGAUCCAGCAAUGCCGCGUGUGUGAAGAGGCCUUCGGGUUGUAAAGCACUUUUGUCCGGAAAGAAAUGGCUCUGGUUAAUACCUGGGGUCGAUGACGGUACCGGAAGAAUAAGGACCGGCUAACUACGUGCCAGCAGCCGCGGUAA